rnacentral:lncRNA from 1 species
UACAAGUCUCCACCACCUCCAACUCCUGUUUACAAAUCACCACCACCACCCAAGGACCCACACUACCCUCCACACACCCCAAUUUACAAGUCACCACCACCACCCAAAGAACCACACUACCCACCACAUACCCCAGUGUACAAGUCUCCACCACCACCAACUCCAGUAUACAAGUCACCACCACCACCCAAGAGGCCAUACCAUCCUCCACCAACACCAUAUCAUCCCACACCAGUUUAUAAGUCUCCACCACCACCAACUCCAGUGUACAAGUCACCACCACCCCCAACUCCCGUUUACAAAUCACCACCACCACCAGUGAAGCCAUACCAUCCCGCACCAGUAUACAAGUCUCCACCACCCCCAACUCCCAUUUACAAAUCACCACCACCACCAGUGAAGCCAUACCAUCCUAAACCUGUGUACAAGUCUCCACCACCACCAGUGAAGCCAUAUCAUCCUACACCCGUCUACAAGUCUCCACCACCACCAACUCCCGUCUACAAGUCACCACCACCACCAGUGAAGCCAUACCAUCCUACACCCGUCUACAAGUCUCCACCACCACCAACUCCCGUCUACAAGUCGCCACCACCACCAGUGAAGCCAUACCAUCCUACACCCGUAUACAAGUCUCCACCACCACCAACUCCCGUUUACAAGUCACCACCACCACCAGUGAAGCCAUAUCAUCCCUCACCAACACCAUACCACCCUACACCAGUAUACAAGUCUCCACCACCACCAACUCCCGUUUACAAGUCCCCACCACCACCAGUAAAGCCAUACCACCCUUCACCAACACCAUACCAUCCUAAACCAGUAUACAAGUCUCCACCACCACCAACUCCAGUCUACAAGUCUCCACCACCAACCCACUAUGUUUACUCCUCUCCCCCUCCUCCCUACCAUUACUAAGAAGUGAGUUUACUAUAUCUGAGGUAAUUAAGAUGAACUUAAACCUUUACAAACAUAUAUAACUAAAAUGCAAUGCAAUAAUAAGUUGCACAAUUAUUUCUUCUCUUUUGGUUAGUUUCUUUUAUAUGUUCUCAUUCACAAUAUUAUAUUGUUAUGCAGGAAAAGCAUAAUGUUGAGCUGAAAGAAAGGCAUUUUCCAUUUUCAAGAAGAAAAUUAUAGUAAAUAAUAAGGCUUACAGAAGAUCAGACGAAGUUCUUUUGUAGCUUCAUGUUAUCUAACUUGUCUUAGUGAUAUAUUGUUUUUGUACUCUAUUUUUAUAUAUUACUUUUAUGUGUCUUUGUGUAUGUUUGCUCACUUUCAAUCUUCUUGCAAAAUGCAGAGAUUAAUUAUGAGAUUAUCAUGAAUAAAAUAAGUUAUUACUACUCCCAUAUGUUUUAAUUAACUUCUCAUCACAAUAUAUAUUACCUUUGUUUUCAUUUUAUCAUGUGCUCAUAUUUAAUUUAUAAAAUUAUAAUGUGAACACAACAUUUACAAUUUUUUUCAAAUAGAACUAUUUAUAUAUAUAUAUAUAUAUAUAUAUAUAUAUAUAUAUAUAUAUAACAGGAUGCUCAAAUUAAUAACCAACGAAUUUCAUGUACUUAUGGUUAUAAUUCAAUCAAAUUCGAGUAUUGUAGUCCAUUUACGAUAACAAAAUAAAAAAAUUAUUUAAUAAUCACAUAAUACGUUGUUAAACUUUUGUAAAGUAUAUGAUUUCAGAAGCUCAAACAAAAAAUUACAAUCCAAAUAUUUUAAAAAUAAUAGUUUAAAAUUUUCACGCAUCACAUAAAUAUAUAUACUUACUCCAAGCCUAUCCUAUCCGAAAUUUUCAGCUAUUGAUGUAGCCUCUUGUCGAUACUACUAGUCUUCUCGCUACCUACUAGAAAAAUUCCAUCAAAAUAGAUUGAAUCGACGACCUAUACUUCAACUAAAGGCACGAGGGCGUAGCGAGCUUAACUAUUAUCGUAAUAUAAGAUGAAAUCCACCCAUUUUGAUAUCACAUACACGUCUUUAAAACUGAUAAAAUAAUGAGGUCUACUCUUAGUCAAAAUUAAAUGAUUGUAGACCACAUCUACAGUUCCCAAUUGUCAACAAUUCGAUCCUCCGCGUUUGUGGUAGGUUUCACUUUCAUUUCUUCGGUUCGAUUUUAUCAAAUUUUAAUUUGAUUCUUUAAUUUUUAAUUUUGGAAAAAUGUGUAUGGAAUGUUGAAUCGAAUUAAUUUGUUUAAUUAUCUUUUUAAAAAAUUAGUUUAAAACAAAAAUUGAAUUUCAAUAAAAUUUAAUGAAAAAAUUAUUCAAAUUGAUUAGGUAACCUUUUAAGUCAAAUAUCAAUAGUUGAAUAAUUUUAUAGGUAAAAUAUUCAUAAUUGAGUGACUUUGAGAUCAUACAAGAAAAUUGAGUGACUUUAUAAGAGAAAAAAUCUUAGUUAAAAUAAUUUUUUAUGAGAAAAAAUUCUUAAGUAACUUUAUGGCAUUAUAAAAAAAAAUUAACUCCUCUUUAAAUUAGAAUUACAAAAUUAAAAGUAAGUUCCAUUUUAAAGAUAAGGACAUUAUUAGUAAAAAUAAUUGGUGAACAUUUUCCAAUGAAAAAAUAAUAUUUUUCUAAAAUAGCUAAUAGAUGAUAAUUCGUUUCUUAGGCGUAAAAAUGUUAGGACAUGUUAGCCUCACUCAGUUGAAUAAAUUGCUCACCAAGAACAUAAUCAUUGAAUAUCCUAAAACAAAGUUUAAAAAUGAAUUAAAAAAAAAAUCAGUAAUAAAAAAAUACAUGCAAACUAUCUACAAAUGUAUUAUUAUUAAUUUUUAAAUAAAAAAGAGUAAAUGAAAGAGAAUAGAAGAUCUUUGACUUGUUAAUUAAGACAAAUAUUUGUCUAAUAUAAGUAUGUCGGUAAUAACAAUGUAGACUAAGAUCUGUACUUGUUUAUAUAUCCAUAUCCCUUAAUGUUAGGACCAUUAAAAUUAUUAAUUUAGUUUAACUAAUUAAUGGGAUCUUAUAAAUACAUUAAUAAUAUUACUGUUGUCGGUGAUUAAGUUAAUGCUAAUACUUAAUUGUUUUUUUUUUCCAAUUAAAAUGUCAAAGUCGUUAGAUGAACCAAAAUGGAAUCGUCCAUGAAGAUGGUACCAGAGUACAAUUAUUGAAUAAUAUCUUUUUUUUUUAACUUCAAAAAUUAAAGUGGAAUUCAAUUACCUACUUUAUAAAUGUAUGGCAACUUGGCAAUAAUUCAUUAAAUUUCAGGAAGAACAAAAACCAUCGAUAAUUGAGAUUAAUUUAAGAGAUAAAUGUCAAAAACACAUUUAAUAUAUUACAUAUUUUAAAAAAAUUCAUACUUCACCCCGUCUCUUUUCGAAAAAAUUGAUAUUAUUUUAUUUUUUUAAAAAUAGGAAUUCUAUCCAUCCUAUAUAACCUCCUGUACCUAAUUUUUUUAUAUAUAUUUUUGUGAGUUUGUAUUAGAUAUGUACAUAUAUUUUUAGGAAUUCUUUCUACUUGUGUACCAAAUAUAAAGUAAAUAAAACAUUUAUUUUUUAAAAAAGUCUUGAGGCCGUGGCAAAUAAAAAUUAUUUUCAAUAUGUUUAUAUCUAACACAAAAGGAGAAAAAGUUCGAAAGCGGACGGUUAGGUGGGGUAGGUAUAUUUUUUUUAAAGCAAAUUAGUAUAUAUAUUUUUUUGUGUGUGUGGGGUUGGGGGGGGGGGGGGGGUAAAAAAAAGUUAAAUACCUUUACAAAAGAAAUUUAAACAAAAAAAACUAAAAAAAAAAAGGGUGGGGGGAGGGUUGGACGGUUAGAGAAAGUGAUGGAGUGGGUAGGGAGGCGAGCAAAAUUGGGAGGGAGACGAGCAAACUUUGUACGUAUCGUAACCCAGAACAUGUGAAUCAAGCAAGAUACACACUAGGUACAUGUAUUUGUACGUGUCUAGAGGAAUUCACAUAUAUCUGGGAUAUCAUAUUCUUGGAAGAAUGACGAGCAAAAUGGAACAGAGGCAAGGAAGGAAAACGAGAUAUACUAUGUAUCCCAAAUACAUGCGAAUUCAAUAAAUAUAAUGUAUCUAGAACAAAUUACACCUAAAUUUGAUCGAGAUAUUCGAGAUACAUGUAUCUCAAGGCACCAAAAUCUGAUUUUUAUAUAUAUAUAUAUAUAUAUGAAAGUUUAUGUGAUCGAUAAAACUAAUAGCUUAGUAUUUCAAUGGUAUCAUUUCUACACAAAAUAGUUCUACCUCAAUUUAUGACAAAAAUGAUUUUAUUUAUAUGAGAUCAAAUUUAUAGGGUUUCGAUGACCAUGAUAAAACAGGAGAAUGUACAAAAAUACUUAAGUCCUUGUUUAUAAUAUACCAUUUUGCCAAAAUAUUUGUAGCUCGAUUAACUUUCUUAUAGAAAUGUUGAACCUUUCAAAUAAUAGUGCUUGAUAUAAUGAUAUAUUGUAAAUAUGAAAAGUGAUGUUUUUCAUUUUCCAAAGAAUACCACUAAAAUAGUUCUUUCUAACAUCAUGUAUAAAUUUUUAUGCAAGUAAAACAUUUUAAAUAAUAAUCUACGAAACUUGUUAUUUGAUCCUCAUAGAUAUUAUAACAUUUAGUUUUAGUGCUUAUGAAAAUAAUUUUGUUAGAACAAUAUUUCCAUUAUACGUAUAAAAAGUUCACAUUGUUCUUUGUUUUUAAAGAUACAAUAUCCUAAUUAUUUCAUUGUUAUUCCAUCUCUAUUAUUCAUUGAGCAUAAUUUGAAUAAUUUAUUUUUAUCAUAUUAUUACCAAUAUAAUCAUAGAAAGUCAAAUAAGAAAACUAAUUUUCCUUGUUACUAUUUCUUUGAUUAAUUGGAAUUAGAGACGACUAGUUAUUAUUAUGAGCAACUUUCACAUAUAGCAAACAAAAAAUUUAUAUUUGUAUGCUAAUUAAGCUCCAUAGCAAACAUAAAACUGUAUAAUUUGCUAUACAUAUACAAUUGUAUAAUUCGCUGGCCUAUUUCGCUGCAAUAGUAUAAUUUGUUUUGCAUACAGUUGAAUCGAAUUAAAAUGUAUGUAUAUUGCAUAAUUAUAAGUGUAUAGCAAGAAGAUAUAUGUUUUUCUCGCUUUAUACAAAAACAGAAACACAAUAUAUACACUUUUGUUGUAUAAAGCUAGAGAAAAUUGUAUUUCACUGCAAUUGUAUAAUUCGCAAUUGUAUAAUUCGUUGGCCUUUUUCUCUGCAAUAUUUGAAGUAAAAUGUUUGCAAAUUGUGUAAUUAAGUGUAUAACAUGAAGAUAUACAUUUUUGCAUGUGUAUAUACAAUUUUCUCUCGCUUUAUACAAAACAGAAACAGAAUUAUACACUUCUGUGUAUAAAGCGGGAGAGGCGAGCGAGAAUGGAGAGUGGCGAGCGAGAUUUUUGGGAGAGAGACGCUGGCAAAUUUUAGCUAAUGUUUGCUAUGGAGCAAAAUUAAAUCAAAUCCUAGCUAUUCCAUUUAAUUUAGGUUAUUAGUUUGCUAUUAUAUACAAUUUUUUCUAUUAUUAUUAAUCGGAUGCAUUUCACUCCGCACAUAAAUAACUUCCAAUAAUUUAAUAUUAAUUAUAUAUGCUCUAUUAAAUAAUUUUUAAAUAUAAAAUAAUAUUAUGGUAGAUUUGGGGGUGUCAAAAUCAAGUCAAUUUGUCAAACUCCCCUAUUCCAUUUAAUUUAUCAACUUUAACUCAUCUCAACCUAAUUUAGUUUAAUUCAUAUUUAAACAGUGAAUUGAUAUAUAAUUCAAAUUAGCUUAUCAAAAUAUUUUUAAAAUAAUAUUUUUAAAAUUUGAUAUGUUAUAUAUAGUCGUAAUAAAGAAAAAAAUAAACUUAUUAGGUGCUAAAAAAUUUUAAAAAGAGCAAACUAAACAACUAAAUUUUAGUAAAAAUUGAAGGGGUUAUAUUAGAAAUCGAAUUUAACUUAAUUAUGUCCAAUUCAUUUCAAUUCAAAUAGACAAUAGCUAAUGAUCCAUUCAUUUGUUAACUCAUUAAAAUUCAAUCGGUUCAAAUUCAGGUCAACUCUCCUAUACCAAACUUCUAGUAGAUCUUAAUCAAUAAAAAUUUGGACACGAAAACAAUUCAUUCAUUUCAUCCAUCAAAUUAUUAAUAAGUGACACCAUCUUAGCGACCCAGUUCAUUGUAUUAUAUUAAGAAAAAAUAACUUAAAUACACAAUUAUAAGUUUUAUAUUUUCUAAUUUUCCCUUCUUUUUUUUAAAUAUUACAUAAUUUCCUUUUUUUAAAAUUUUAGUGUAAGUUUAUAGAUACAUUACAUUCUCUCUCCUAUAGUACACAAUUACCCAUUUUAAUGCCUAUUUAUUCUCCAUUAAAACACUCAACCUUUUAAAUAAAAGACCUAAUUUUGAAUUUCAAAAUUCAAAAAAUUUCAAAUUUCAAAAAUCAGGUUCUCCCGUUUUUCUUACUCCAUCAAGUUUCACUUCCUUUUUUUCCAUAAUCAUCUUCCUUCUUCUUAACCUAGCAGAAUUUAUUGGUUUCUUCUUUUUAUUCUUAAUCCAUCAUCUUUUUCUUCUUAAUCUGUAAUCGUCUUAACCCAAUAUCUUUUUAUUAUUAAUCCAUCAUCAGUUCGUCUUUUCUUCUCUUUUUUCUUUUUGUUAAUUGUUCUAUUACAUUAUAGUAAUGGAUCCGUUAAUUAAUAGAAGGAUAUAUGAUUCCGACGAUGAAAAUUGGAAAGAAAAUAGGAAAAAGUUUUUGCAUGAUCCUAUGAAUCUUCAGAAGGAUUCAAACAAAGACUCUGGCGAAACAUCAAAAUCAAAGGUUAUCAAAAUACAACAAAAAAAGAAAAAAGAAGCAGCAAACAUUGUUGUUAGGCCUACAUUGUCUCGGGUUAGUAUUUUGGUACUUAAAACUGUUGUUGAAAUUAGUAAAAAUUUUAAGGAAUCUAGUGUGCUUGCCGAUACAUUUGAAUAAGUGUGUAUAGUGUUUUAGAGGUGAAUUGAUACAUGAAUUUAUUGUGUAUCAUAAUAUUUUAUAUGUAUCAUGAAGUUUUGAAAAUUGUUAUAAUGUAUCAUUCAAUAAGUUUAGUAAAUACGUCAUCAACUGUGCUUGAUGAUACAUAUAGAAUCAGUGUGUACGGUGUUUAGUCAAUUCACUGAUACAUGUAGGAGAUAUGUAUCACAUGUUUUGCAUAUAGUAUGAAUUUCUGAAAACUGAUAUCAUGUAUCAGUAAGGUAUUAGUUGUUUAGUUGAUGUACUGAUACAUGUUUGAAAAUUGUUAUAAUGUAUCAUUCACUAAGUUUAAUAAAUGCGUCAUCAACUGUACUUGAUGAUACAUAUAGAAUCAGUGUGUAUAUUGUUUAGUCGAUGUUUCUGAUACAUGCAUUAGAUACGAAAUUGAAUCUCCAACAACGAUUCCGUCGAUUUUGUAACUUUCAUACUGCAAUUCGUUCACCUAAAUUCCGGAAUGUCUCAUCAAAAUCGAAGUAUUCAUCUUGAAAAAUCCACUGUAACAACAAUAAAAUUACUGUAGUUCGAAAUUUAACAGAUUGUUCAAAAAAAUUGUUUUCAAAAUAGAUGACAUAAUCUUUGUUUUUCAAAAUUUGAAAUUAAUAUCCAAUUAAGUGCUUAUUUUAUGCUGAUUAAUGAUAUGUUACCGUAAAUUUAGCUGUUUUAUUAACAACAUUAACUGUACCGUUUUCCCCCUUUUUUUUCUCAACAGUUUAAAAUUACCAUGUAUCAUUUACCUUGUAUCACGAGAGUCUAAAGUAUCACGGCUCAACAAAUUUAAGAGAUUUUUUGUAAAUACUAAAUUUGUCUGGACAAAAUGAAAUUAUUGAAUUACACUAUAGGAUUCCUUAAAUUUUUACUUAUAUUAAUCUUUAGUAUGGGGACCUAAAUAUUUAACUUUCCAAUUCCUUUAGGGGUCAAUUUGAUUGAUUAUAAUGAGUGAAUUAUACUAUAAAAAUUGAAAUAAUAAUUAAUGUUUGUAGAGCAUAUUAAAUUAUUUUAUCAUGACUACAGUUGGUGUUAAUUGAAUUGGAAAUAAGAUAUAUACGGUAUAUAAUAUAUAUAGAAAUUUUAAUUUGAUUCGUUGAUUUUGUAUUUUCAGACAAAUUUUAUUUUUAAUUUUACCUUUCUUAAAGAACUUUUAGUUUGGUUGUUUUAUCAUGGAAUUAGCUAAUUAUUAAUCUAGAGAAUUGCUAUUCCAUAUACAACUUUGGUACAAUUAGAGAAUUAUAAUAUAAUUAAUUUCAAAAUUACUUAUAUUUAGGAACAAAAGUUUCAAUCAAACGAUAAAUAAUUGAAUAUUUUAUCUCAGAAUUAGUAUUAUUAUUAUUAAUACUAAUUAACGAUCCUAAGUUUCGAUUUUGUCACUCCGGUCCUUUUCUUUUAAUCUUUUCACAAACCAACUACAUUUGAUUGCAUUAACUAUAAAGUCCAUUUGCAUUAUUUUACAUAUCAAUUAAUAUUACUAAACUAAAUUUAUCUAUAAUUACUGAUUUAAAUGUAUACCUAUUUUCUCACCAACAUGGCAUAUAUAUUAGACUCAUUAAAAUUAAACGUUGCUUCAUGUGGUGUGUUCAAUUGGUUAGACUAUCUCGUCAAAUAUAUUGUUCGCAAAUAAACAAUGCUCAAAUGAAUGAUAUUAAUGUUGUUGGUGAAUAUUACAAGCUUCUCGUAACGUUUUGUUAGCUUACGUAUGAAUGUGCAAUAUUAUUUCUACUUAUUUUGUCAAACACUAAAAAAGUAAGUAAAAAACUUGUUUAUGUGAGAUAAUAUUUUUCUUUGUACCUAAAAAGUGCAUUAAUUUAUAUAGCUAAAAUAGUGCAAAGUUGAGGCCUCCACGCAUUAUUUUUGGUGAGAAGAAGAAUGAGAAGACUUUCUAUCUCUUUGAAUUAUUGCAUCACAAACAGUAUAGCUGCCUUAAUAGUUUAUUCAUUUGCUUAGCUUAAUGCCUCUAUCCAUCAAAUUAAAUAUACAACUAACAAGACAAAACCAAAUGAAAAUGCAUAACUCUAGGAUUUUACCUACAUUUGUAUAAAUUUUGGUAAGGGUAUCUGUCUAAAUGAAAACUAUAUAAAGGGGUUUGAGUGAAGCUUAAGAUGACAACAACUUUCUCCUUUGUUUCGAAUAUGGGGAAAAUGGCCUUUCUAGUUGCCACCCUUUUAGUGGUUUUAGUGUCACUUAGCUUAGCAUCUGAAAUUUCAGCUAAUUAUCAAUACUCAUCUCCCCCACCACCAAAGGAGCCAUACCACCCUUCACCAACACCAUAUCAUCCCACACCAGUUUACAAUUCUCCACCACCACCAAAAGAGCCAUACUACCCUCCACACACUCCAGUGUACAAGUCGCCACCACCCUCGACACCUAUUUACAAGUCGCCACCACCACCCAAAGAGCCAUACUACCCUCCACACACCCCUGCCUACAAGUCACCACCUCCACCAACUCCAGUUUACAGGUCGCCACCACCUCCCAAGGAGCCAUACUAUCCUCCACACACACCAACCUACAAGUCGCCACCUCCACCAACUCCCGUUUACAAGUCACCACCACCUCCAAAGGAACCAUACUACCCUCCACAUGCACCAACCUACAAGUCGCCACCACCUCCCAAGGAGCCAUACUACCCUCCCCACACCCCAACCUACAAGUCCUCACCUCCACCAACUCCGUUUUACAAUUCACCACCACCUCCCAAGGAACCAUACUACCCUCCUCACACACCAACCUACAAGUCGCCACCCCCACACAAGGAUCCAUACUACCCUCCACACACACCAACCUAUAAGUCACCACCUCUACCAACUCCUGUUUACAAGUUGCCACAACCACCCAAGGAGCCAUAUUACCCUCCACACACACCAACCUACAAGUCACCACCUCCACCAACUCCCAUUUACAAGUCACCACCACCUCCCAAGGAGCCAUACUACCCUCCACACACACCAACCUACAAGUUACCACCUCCACCAACUCCCGUUUAUAAGUCGUCGCCACCACCAUCCAAAGAGCCAUACUACCCUCCACACACACCAACCUACAAGUCACCACCUCCACCACCUCCCGUUUAUAAGUCUCCACCACCACCCAAGGAGCCAUACUACCCUCCACACACACCGACCUACAAGUCACCACCUCCACCAACUCCCGUUUACAAGUCCCCACCACCUCCUAAGGAGCCAUACUACCCUCCACACACACCGACCUACAAGUCACCACCUCCACCAACUCCCGUUUACAAGUCCCCACCACCUCCUAAGGAGCCAUACUACCCUCCACACACACCAACCUACAAGUCACAACCUCCACUAACUCCCGUUUAUAAGUCGUCGCCACCACCACCCAAGGAGCCAUACUACCCUCCACACACACUAACCUACAAGUCACCACCUCCACCAACUCCUGUUUAUAAGUCGCCACCACCACCCAAGGAUCCAUACUACCCUCCAAACACCCCAACUUACAAGUCGCCACCUCCACCAACUCUCAUUUACAAGGUUCCACCACCAGCCAAGGAGCCAUACUACCCUCCACACACACCGACCUACAAGUCACCACCUCCACCGACUCCCCUUUAUAAGUCCCCACCACCUCCUAAGGAGCCAUACUACCCUCCACACACACCAACCUACAAGUCACCACCUCCACCAACUCCCGUUUAUAAGUCGUCGCCACCACUACCCAAGGAGCCAUACUACCCUUCACACACACCAACCUACAAGUCACCACCUCCACCAACUCCCGUUUAUAAGUCUCCACCACCAACCAAGGAUCCAUACUACCCUCCACACGCCCCAACCUACAAGUCGCCACCUCCACCACCUCCCACUUACAAGUCGCCACCACCACCAAAGGAGCCAUACUACCCUCCACACACACCAACCUACAAGUCAUCACCUCCACCAACUCUCAUUUAUAAGUUGUUGCCACCACCACCCAAAGAGCCGUACUACCCUCCACACACACCAACCUACAAGUCACCACGUCCACCAACUCCCAUUUAUAAGUCGUCGCCGCCGCCACCCAAGGAGCCAUACUACCCUCCACACACACCAACCUACAAGUCACCACCUCCACCAACUCCCGUUUAUAAGUCGCCACCACCACCCAAGGAUCCAUACUACCCUCCACACACCCCAACCUACAAGUCGCCACCUCCACCAACUCCCGUUUACAAGUCGCCACCACCACCCAAGGAGCCAUACUACCCUCCUCACACACCAACCUAUAAGUCACCACCUCCACCAAGUCCCGUUUACAAGUCGCCACCACCACCCAAGGAUCCAUACUAUCCUCCACACACCCCAACCUACAAGUCGCCACCUCCACCAACUCCCGUUUACAAGUCGCCACCACCACCCAAGGAGCCAUACUACCCUCCUCACACACCAACCUAUAAGUCACCACCUCCACCAAGUCCCGUUUACAAGUCGCCACCACCACCCAAGGAGCCAGACUACCCUCCACACACCCCAUCCUACAAGUUACCACCUCCACCAAUUCCCAUUUACAAGUCGCCACCACCACCAACUCCUGCCUACAACUCUCCUCCACCACCUUACUAUCUUUACACCUCUCCCCCUCCUCCCUACCAUUACUAAAAAGCCACUUCAUUAUAUCGAGGUAAUUAAGACAAACUAAAACUAUUACUAAUGAUGUGUCUAAAAUGCAAAGCAAUAAGUUGCUCAAUUUCCUCAUGCAAAUCAUUAAUAUAUAGACCUAUGCAGUCUAUAUUCUUAUUUGGAUAACUUUAAUUACAUGUUCUCAUUCACAAAAUUAUAUUCUUAUGCAGGAAAAGCAAAAUGUUGAGCUUAAAGAAAGGCAUUUUACAUUUUCGAGAGACGAUGAAAAAAGAAGAAAACUAUAGUAAAUAAUAAGCCCCACAUAAGUCGAAGUUCUUUUGUAGCUUCAUGUUAUCUAAGCUAGUGAUACUGUUUGUACUCUAUUAUUUAUAUUUGUAUUUUUACUUUUAUGUCUUUCUGUAUGUUUGCUCAGUUUUAAUAUCCUAGCAAAAUGCAAAGAUUAAUUAUGAGAUGAAUAAAAUAAGUUAUUACUAUUAUACAGUUUUAUGUUUUCCUUCUCUCUGAUCUAUUCGAUCUUAAUUAGUCCUUUUUUUGGUCUUAUUUCUUCAUCUUUAUAUCGAAGGCGAGGCUCAACGAUUACAUUAAAUCAAUCAUCAUACAGAUAAAAUUGAUGACAAAUUUAACGUUAAGAUAUCAUCAAAAUCUCAAUAACAAUUUACAGAUCGAAAUCUUAGUAUCGAUUGAUUAAUAACCUAAACUUUCGCCAUGAAGACUUGAAUCCCUAAUCCCGUCCUUCAUUUCCCAUAUCUCUACCCACACAUUAUCUUUUAAGAAAGAAGAAGUAACAACCAAAAUAAACAUUAUAUCUAAAGUGAUAAUAUGAUAACAAUACAAAUAGGCAACAAUACAAUUAAAGAAAAAAAAAAAAGUUACUCCCACGAUGUCAACACGUAUGCUAGACUGACCAAUAAAGUUAGACAAAUUUCAAAAUUGACAAUAGCAAAGUAUACGUACGUAGCAUAUAGCAACCAAUCAAUGAAUAAAUUAUUCCUAAAGUAGUCAUUAUCAUCUCAUAUACUAUAUUUGGUAAAAUACUAAGAUUAAGUCAACAUAAUUCAGUCUACCGUUUGGUAAUUUAUAACAAAUAGUGACAAUAUUAAUAAAGUGAUUGGUGCUCUCUUUUGGCCCACCCCCAAGAAGAUCGUGAACGCAUAUUUUAAAUUUGAUUUGAUUACCACUUUUUAAUAUCUUUAAAAUAAAACUUGUAUAUUUAAAAAAUUAAAAAUUAUUAUUAUUAUUUAAUUAUAUAAAUAAAAUAUUUUAAAAUACAUUAGUAUCUUAAUAGAGAAAAGAUUAAAAAAUUAAAAAUUAUUAUUAUUAUUUAAUUAUAUAAAUAAAAUAUUUUAAAAUACAUUAGUAUCUUAAUAGAGAAAAGAUUGUUUGUUUGAUUUUCUAAAGUAACAGAGUCGGAUGAGAUAGUUGAUUAAUUUGACGGUUUGAAUAAUAUAAUCUUCUUGAUAAAUAAUCAUCAACCCAUCAUGCAUGUUUUAUAUUUAUUGAUAGAAACUUUGAUGGAUUGAUUUGUUGGUGCCGCCUCAACAUAGAGAAAAGAAAAAGAACAAGUUAUUUCAAUCUAUUACACUUUAGAGAUUAAAAAAAACAUUUUUUAAAGCAGUGAUAAAAUUGAUAAUAAUAAGUUGUUAAUAUGUUUGGCAAAAAGAGUGUCGAUUAACUAUUUUUUGCUAUAGUAUUGAAAUAUCUUUAGAUUUUUUAACCCCCAAAAAAGGUUUAAAACUACCUCUGUAAAGAAAAGGAGUUUAUUUUUAGAAAAUAUAUCUCGAGAAAUAAAGUAAGAUAAAGGAUAAAAUCGUGAAAGAAAAAUGUUGAUAAGCAAACAAAAAAAUCAAAGUUAGGAAUGACCAAUUUAUUGAAUAUAACUAAAUUGUCUUAAAUAAGCAACUUAGCUUAUAAAUAUAUAUAUAAAAUUAUUUUUAUAUCAGUUUGAUCAAUUAAUAAUAAAUUGAUUAUGCAUGAAAUAAUAGGAAGUGUUCUAAUUAAAAAGAAUACAAGGAAAAAGGUGCAGUAUUGUGUACGAUCGACCAAACAUACAUUCGUUAUUAAUUAUUAUUAAGCUAAUUAGACAACGCUAUCUUAUUAAUUUAUUAUAGAGCUGUCGAUAUUAGUUUAGAUAAUUAAAUUAUAUAAAAUUCAUUUAAUUCAAUCAAAGCUUGACUUGUUAAAUGUUAGGUUUAUGAUAUGAUUAAUUAUAUAUAUAAUUCACUAUGAUUUUACGCGACUUGUUAAUCAAGACCUUAUUUAACAUAUUGAUUAAGUUAUUAGUUAUAUAACUAAUAAAAAUAUAUUUUAAAUAAUAAAUGGUUAUUGAGAGAAAACUUCCAUGCAAUUAUCAUAAUAAGAAACUUCUUAAGAAAUUGUCUCUAAUUAGAUAAUUGGAUGGUGACUCUUUUGUUUAAAAAAAAUUGAAUCAAUCAAGAUUUUAUUGCUAUUAAUUGUGAACUACAAUUUGUAGAAGGGGAGCAUAAACCUAGAUAUUAACUAUGCACAACAUGAGUGUGCAAGAUUAUUUUGUUUAUUUAUUUUGAUUCAAUUCAGUAUCCGAUAUUCAUAUUAGAUUCUCAAUCAAAUUUGUAUUUACAUUAAAAAAAUUCAGUGCUCCUUAACAGAGGCAACAACUCUGUACUCAGGAGAACUCGAAUUCGAGACCUCUAAACAAGAAUAAAGAAGUAUUUGUUAUUCCAUAACAAUUUUUAUUGAUAAAAGAAACUCGUAGUAUCAUGAAAAGAUAAUAGAUUAUCUAGGCCUAAUGGAAAAUUCAGUCAAGCUUUAGAGGGAAAAUUAUGGCAUAGCAAAGUUACAAACUUUAUAGUAUGAUUAACUUAAUUACAAGACCGUUAAAUUGAAUGCAACCCCAAUAACUUUUCUUUCAAUAAAUAUUUGGCCUUUGUGAGCUUUAUUUGAACUCUCUCUUCCUUCAUAAACUUGACCAUCAGCAAUAUUUUCCUUUCCUCUUUUAUUUUAUUGCUCACUCGAUAGUCAGCUUUUAAGAUUGACUUGAUGUUUCGAUAAGCGAAAGGUGUAAAUCCAGAUUAUGCUCAAGUAUCUAAGUGAUAUAUGAAUUGCAAACUUUUUGCAUAUGCAUUUGAGAAGAAAAUAAUUAUCACAAGAAAAUAAAUAAUUAGCAUGCGGUAAAUUAUUAACGUAGUUAAAUAAUGUUAUAGUCUUAUAAAUUAAAAUAAAGACAAGGCAACAAUUGUCACUAAUUAUUUGUAUUGUUAGCAACAAAAACUAAGAGAACAUAAAUAAUAUAUACUUAAUGGCUCAAUUUUACACCAUUUCACUAUAAAUAACUUUAUGUCGCUAAUUUGAUUACAUAUUUUUGUGACGAAACUUAUUUUGUAUCCAAACUUAAACGAAUUUAAAGAUAAAUAUGAUUUAUCAUAAAUAUUCAGUAAAAACAGGGAGAAAAUUUAUCAUCAUCAAUAUCCUCAAUUUCGUCGCUAAAAUUACCUUACAAUUUGAUUUAAUUAUAAAUUGAAAAUCAAAUUUAAAAAUGAUUAAAUUUGUGAUGUUGGUGCAAAAUGCACGUAUCAAAUUAAACCCACCUUUAGGUCUAAGAAAAUGGUGAGCACAUCUUAACCAUUAUUCUUCAACUCAUUUCAUCUCUUCCUCAAUUAAUUAUGCAAAUAAUAAAAAUAUUUCUUUUUCCAUUCAAUGUCUGUGUUUUAUAUUGAAGUUCCAAUUAACUCUAGAUUAGAAACCGGAGGCGAGGGCACAUUUAAAGGUGAUGCUUCCUAUACGACUCAUGUAGUAAAAAAAAUUAUAAAAAAAACCACCACAAUAAUUAUAUACGCUUCAAAAAAAAGAAGAGAAUAGAAUAGCAUCCUAUUCAUAGAGAAAACUAUACUUGAUAGUUAACUGGUAGCAAAACUUUUGCACAAGAUUAAUUAUAUUUGUAUAGUUGAUUUAUUCAAGGUUUUAAUUAGAAGAGGUCUAGGAUUCUAUUUAUUUUUAUCCAUAUUUUUUAAACAAUAAAUUUGCUACAAAAGGAUGUCUGUGACAAAUCAUGUCUCCUAAAUAUAAGCACUUGUGUGAAGGUUAGUUGAGUGUAAAGUUGAGGCAUCCACGCAUUUUUUUUUUCAAAGGUUCUGUAAAAAGAAAACAAGAUUUUGUAGCUCUUUGAAUCAUUCUGUCACAAACAGUAUAGUUCCCUUAAUAGUUUAUACAUUUGCUUAGGAUGAUGCCUCUAUAUAUCUAUCAAAUUAAAUAUACAAACUAAAGUCAAAAUUGAGCCAACAACAUGUCAAGACUAAAUAAACAUAUGCAUAACUCUACCAUAUUACCUACAUUUGUAUAAAUUUUGGUAAGGGUAAUUUCUAAAUGAAGUCUAUAUAAAGGGGUUUGGGUGAAGCUUAAGAGGACAAAAACUUCUCUCCUUUGUUUCAAAUAUAGGGAAAAUGGCCUCUCUAGUUGCAACUCUUUUAGUGGUUUUAGUGUCACUUAGCUUACCAUCCGAAAGUUCAGCUAAUUAUCAAUACACAUCUCCCCCACCACCAAAGGAGUCAUACCACCCUUCACCAACACCUUAUCAUCCCGUACCACUUUACAAGUCUCCACCACUGCCAACUCCAGUUUACAAUUUUCCACCACCACCCAGAGAGACGUACUACCCUCCACACACUCCAGUGUACAUGCCGUCACCACCCUCGACACAAAUUUACAAGUCGCCACCACCACCCAAGGAGCCAUAUUACCCUCCACACACCCCAACCUACAAGUCGCCACCUCCACCAACUCCUAUUUACAAGUCUCCACCGCCGCCAACUCCCUUUUACAAUUCUCCACCACCACCCAAGGAGCCAUACUACACUUCGCCACCUCCACCAACUCCUACUUACAAGUACCCACCGCCACCAACUCCGGUUUACAAUUCUCCACCACCACCUAAGGAGCCAUACUACCCUCCACACACCCCAACCUACAAGUCGCCACCUCCACCAACUCCUGCUUACAAGUCUCUACCGCCGCCAAUUCCAGUUCACAAUUCUCCACCAUCACCCAAGGAGCCAUACUACCCUCCACACACCCCAACCUACAAGUCGCCACCUCCACCAACUCCUGCUUACAAGUCUCUACCGCUGCCAAUUCCAGUUCACAAUUCUCCACCAUCACCCAAGGAGCCAUACAACCCUCCACACACCCCAACCUACAAGUCGCCACCUCCACCAACUCUUGCUUACAAGUCUCCACCGCCACCAACUCCGAUUUACAAUUCUCCACCACCACCCAAGGAGCCAUACUACCCUCCACAUACCCCAACCUACAAGUCGCCACCUCCACCAACUCCCAUUUACAAGUCGCCACCGUCACCAACUCCGGUUUACGAUUCUCCACCACCACCCAAGGAGCUAUACUACCCUCCACACACCUCAACCUACAAGUCGCCACCACCACCGAAUGAGCCAUACUACCCUCCACACACACCAACAUACAAGUCGCCACCUCCACCAAUUCCAAUCUACAAGUCACCACCUCUUCCAACUCCUAUUUACAAGUCGCCACCACCACCCAAGGAGCCAUACUACCCUCCACAUACUCCACUUUCACCGUCUUCAGUUUAUAAGUCUCCACCUCCACCAACUCAUGUUUACAAGUCGCCGCCACCACCUAUAGAGCCAUACUACCCUCCACACACCCCAAUCUAUAAGUCGCCACCUCCACCGAUUCCUGUUUACAAUUCACCACCUCCACUAACUCCAGUUUAUAAGUCACCACCACCACCCAAAGAGCCUCACUACCCUCCACACACCCCAGUGUAUAAGUCACCACCACCACCCAAGGAGCCAUACUAUUCUCCACAAAAUCCAGUCUACAAGUCGCCACCUCCACCAACUCCCAGUUACAAGUCGCCAACACCACCCAAGGAGCCAUAUUAUCCUCCACAUACCCCAACUUACAAGUCACCACCUCCACCAACUCCAGUAUACAAGUCGCCGCCACCACCCAAGGAGCCAUACUACCCUCCACACACCCCGACCUACAAGUCGCCACCACCACCGAAGGAGUCAUACUAUCCUCCACACACCCCAACCUACAAGUCACCACCUCCACCAACUCCUGUUUCCAGCUCUCCACCACCACCAACUCCAGUCUACAAGUUUCCACCACCAACAGAUUAUGUUUACACCUCUCCCCCUCCUCCCUACUAUUACUAAGAAGAGAUUUCAUUAUAUCUAAGGUAAUUAAACCAAACUAAAACUUUUAAUUAUGAUAUGUCUAUAGAAGUUGCACAAUUUCUUCGUUCGAAUAAUUAAUAUAGACCUGUAUACUGUCUACAUCUUAUUUGGUUUAGGUUCUAUUAUAUGUUCUCAUUCACAAUACUAAUUAUAUUCUUAUGCAGGAAAGAUGCAGAAUGUUGAGCUAAAAGAAAAUAAGCCCACACAGGAGGCAAAGUUUUUUUGUAGCUUCAUUUUGUAUAAGUUAUUGUUUGUACCCUAUAUUAUAUUUAUAUUUUACUUCUAUUUAUUUGUGUAAUAUGUUUGUUCGAUCUCCUUGCAACAUGCAGCCAUUAUGAGAUGUAUAAAAUAUGUUAUUACUAUAUAUACUGUCUUUUUUCUUAUUUUUGUCAUCCCUUAUAUUGAGUUAUAUUUAUAAGUUGAGCCUCUUAUCAAUUACAUUAAAUCAGUUGCUAUAAAAAAUGUGGUUUUUCACCACCAAUAAGUUCAACGAUAAGCUACAAUCAACUGGGAAUAUUAGUAGCUUCAAUAGAAAAUGUUAAUAGCUCCGUUGAUUAGUUAUUUGAACUUUUUAUCUUUAUUACACGUCGCAAUAACAAUCAAUGUAAAUAUUAUAUCUAACCUCUGGACUUAUGCCCACAUAAUUCCUCAAUGCACCCACACAAAAUAUUGAAAUUAAAUAUUAUUACUUGCCUAUUUCUCUUAUCUUGAUUAUUAGUUUUCAGGGAUGAAAGUUUAAUUGUUACACCUUUCACUUUUUUAAAAAAAAAAAAAAGGAAUGGACAACCAACUGAUUUCGUAUCUGAUUGUAGUUGUUGAAGGCAUAUUGUAAUAAUUAAAUUUUCGUUUUUGAAAAAUAAUAAUCAAAAAAUAGAAAAUAUCAAUAAAUAAUAAUAUUUAAUUUUAUUUAUUUGUGCACGAUUUAACAAUCAUUAGAGAUUUCACACUAAAAUGUUUAAUUUUUUUGUUUUUUCUUUUUUUCUCUUCAUGACUAUCAACUCAAAAGUUUUGCUUUUUACCUGAAUUGAUGGAAUACUUGUUGAAAGUUUACCACGAAUGCAUAAUCAAUUUUUAAUCACAUUCGAGGAGGCAUAAAACGACUCACAACUUGAAGGCAAAAAAGAGUUGUAUGCAGAAGACUGCAAAUCAUUAUUGAAUAUUUUUUUAUAUAGGCAUCAGCUAGGGUUUGAAAUAUUUGAUCUAAUCGACUUUAGGUUUGAGAAUAUGAGUUGUGUUGGAUUAGACUUGUAAAUUUAAUAAUGGACUAACCUAAAUUUAAUCGAAAAAUUACCUAACUACAUAUAUAUUUUUUUAUCCUAUUUUCUAUUAUUUCAUAUAAUUUAUAAAAAUUACAAAAAUCUUUUUUUUCUCUCAAAUUCGCUCCUUUCAAGAUUCAUAACUUUAAAUCUUCCAACUCACAAUUUCUCCUUUUUCUCAGGCCUAUAAUCGCUCUACUAUAUUACUAGUUACCUUCAUCUCCUAUAUUUUGAAUUUUAGAUAUUUUUCUCUCUCCCGUUUAUAAUUUAAUUGAGUAUGUAUCAUAUGUUUGUUAUGUAUGUGAAGUACUAUUUUAUAACUAAAUCAUUGUUUAUCAUAUUCAUAAGUUUUUUUUAUAUGAUACAUAGCUAUGUCAAAUUAUACCGGCAUGAUACAUAAAUACUAAUUUAUGCUACAUGUAACGAUCUCAAAUCAAACAACUUAUGAGCAACAAUUACAUGUUAAAUGUAUCCCGUAACAAUACGAUACUUAUUAAUUUAAACGAGAUAAAUAAAUAGUAAUGUAUCAUGUAUUAGUUUUUAGAUGUGAUACAUAAAUUCGAAUUUGGACUACAUGUAUUAAUUACAUAGAAACUACCACGCGGUGAUGUAUCCAUCACAAAUGUAACAUCUUAUGGGCAACAAUUACUUAUUUAAUGUAUCUACUAUAAAUACAAUACUAAUCAAUUGAGACGAGAUACACAAAUAGUAAUGUAUCAUGCAAAAAAAUUUUUUACUUGAUAUGUGAAUUCGAAUUUAUACUAAAUGUAUCAAUUACAUAGCAACUACCACAUUGUAAUGUAUCGAUCUCGAAUUCAACAUCUUAUGGACUAUAAUUAUUUAUUUAGUGUAUUUAGUAUAAAUACAAUACUUAUCAAUUUAAACAAGAUACAUAAAAGUAAAAUGCUAAGUAGACAAGAUAUUCAUGAUAAUAUUCUCAAUUUUUUUGAGAUUCUUCAAUAAACUAGGAGAAGAAUUCUGAAUCUCAAAAUUUACAACAAUUUUGAAUCAAAAUUAAAAAGAUCUUUGAUGAACUGGAGAACAAAGAAUCUUAAUCUCAAAAUUUUUAACAAUCUUGAAUCAAAACUGAAAGGAAUAUCUUUGAUGAUCUUGAAGAUUCAAAAGAAAAUUGUUUAUCCAACAACAAUUUUGUCACUUUUGUAUCAUUCAUAAUUCACUUCGCUUACCCAAAAUUUCGACAAAAGUUUUUGGAUCAAAUGUGAAAGGUUUCUUUGUUGAACGGGGGGAUCAACUAGAAAUUUUAAAUUUCUUCGUUCUGUAUGGAUUUGAUUCUGUAUGAUUGAGAGUAAAAAGAAAUAUAAGCGUAAUUUAUGGAAUUUAAUUAGUUUUCAGAUUUUAUUUUCUUUUUAGCGCAACAGAAAGAUUCUUUUUGUAUUAAAAUUAGUGUAUCUAGAUGGUGGUGACUUAUGUAUUUGUUGAAGGAAGCUGAUGGAACAGGUUUGGUAGUAUAUGACUUUUUUCCUAUAUAAGGAUGAUGUAACUCAAUCAUUCAUUCAUCAAUAUAAUCCUUGAUUCUUCACAUACAUAUCUGUGAGAAUUCUACAUCCGAAAGGUACAAAUUUUAACGGAUCAUUUUAUUAGAAAAAAAUAGAGAUAAAAUAUAAUGUAUUCUUUACAUUACGAAGUUUACGUAAGUUAAUCAAAUUUGAUUAAACUUCCCUUAAAUCAUAAAAGUUUAACUUAAUAUUAUUCCAACUUUAUUAUAGAUAUAUAUAAUUGGAAAAAAAAACAAACAAAAUAGAACAUAAGAUCUCGAUCGCUGGACAAAUGUUUGUCUAUAAUAAAUAAAUAUGUCGGUAAUAAUUAUUGACUAGGUCAAUGUAGCUAAGGUUUGUACUUGUUUAUACUUACAUCCUAUCUCUUGGGACGAUUAAAAAAAUAUUAGUUUAGCUUAUUUAAUAAUGGAAUCUUAUAUGGAGUUUACUAAUUUUAUCUUUGUCGGUGAUUAAGUUAUACAAAUGAUUAAUUAUUUUUCUAAUUAAAAAGUCAAAAGUCAUUAUUGGAUGAACCAAGAAUCUUCCAUGUAUUUGAAUACUUUUUCUGUCUCCCUUAAAUCGUGAUGGCUUUUUUGUAAGUUAAAUAAUAAAAAAUUUUAUUAAUGUUUUGUUGAUAUAAGAAAUUAUAAAAUAAGUAUUUUUGUAUAAUAUAUUUAAAUUUUUAAUUUAAAUUUAAAUUUUAAAAAUUAGUUAUAUUAACUGUUAAAAAACCGUACAACGACUAAAACGGGACGGCUUGUUCUCUUCUUUCUUUUAUUAUAAAUAAAAAUAAAAAUUUAACUAAUGUGCAAUCAAUAAUGUUAAUUAUUUAUUCAAAGUUUAAAUUAAACACAUAAAAGUGAAAAGUAUAAAGCCUUCAACCGAUUCGAUUCAUUUAAUUAUGUUUCUUAAGAUAUUCCAUAUUUUCAAAUUUUAAAGAGAACUAUAAAUUCCUACAUUUAAAACUACAUACAUUAUUAAAAUGUGCCUAUAUAACACGCAUUUAAAUUAGUUGUGCUCAAAUAUAGAUAUCAAACAAGGAAUAAAACAUAAAGUGAAUUACUUAAACUAUAAUUAUAUAUUAAGUAAUUAAAUCAAAUCGUGUAAUUUAAUUAAUUAUACUACCAAAAUAUUAACUUCAACGAUAUGAAGUAACGCAAUGUACCUUUAAAGUUUCACAAAAUUUAAUUAGGUUGUAAGGUUUGAUUCUUGAAAUUUAGAAAUUAUUUUCAAGUGAUUUGAGUACAUUGAAAGUACCUAAGUCAAUAAAGUCAAAAAUAAAUUAAUUUUUACUUUGUAUCGUGACCUGUAUUCUACAUCUUGUGUGUUCCCACGAUAAUAAACUAAGAUACCAAAAAUUUCAUAGAUAUUAUAUUUAAUCAUAUAAAUUUUUUCAAUAUUGAGCUACAUAAUCCGUUGAAUUUUUUGCCCUCUAUUCCCACCUAAAACUAAAAAGAAAGAACAACAUUAAUUGCUUUAUUUAGUAAUGAAAGUGGGUCAUUAUAUAUAUAUAUAUAUAUAUAUAUAUAUAUAUAUAUAUAUAUAUAUAUAUAUAUAUAUAUAUAUUAUUUUAUUUUAUUUUAUUUUAUUUUUUUGACAACUAGGGAAACCUGAGCCGCUAUCCUAUAAAAUAGCUCGCAAAUCACAUAGGAGAGGUAACCUGCACUAGGCAAGCCUGGUGCAACGAGCUUGACCCAGAAGGCAAAUCUCUUGCUUUCGCUGGCAAGGGGUUUCAAACUUGAGACCUCCAAUAUGGAAGUUUCAAGCUCAAACCAUUGGGCCACCCCGAAGGGUUAUAUAUAUAUAACUUUUAGUAAUAUUAGAUAUUGACAUUAAUAAAGAGUGUUAAAGUCUUUAUCGGUAUCAGUUAAGUGUCAUUAGAACCAAUGUUGCUAAAGGCUUUAGGGACACAUACAAAGAAAGUUAUUGCCGCUAAAAACACUUAUUUGGCGACGUUUGAAAAUUAAUUGCCAAUAAUGAUUAUUUUUAAUAUAGUGUAUAUAUGUAUUAUUGUUUUAAAUCUCUAUACUAUUUAAGCACUAAAGGUAAUUAAAGGUUAGUUUAUCAAUCAAAAUCAAAAAAAAAUAAAUUGUUACUCCCUUAGUUCGUUUCAUAGUAGUUGAUCAUCUUACUAAAAAUAAUUGUUACACAUUAAUUGUCCAUCUUAUUAAAUCAAGAAAUCAAUAAUUAAUUUUUUCCUAUAUUAUCUAUUCAGAUAAUUCUUUUGAAAGUAUUAACAUUUGUUUGUAAAAUGUAAAAGAAGUUUUCAAGGGGUGAAUUAAUAAAAUUAUCUAGCUAGUUAAUAAAAAUGAUGGGUGAAAUAAUAUUAUCUAGCUACUUAAUAAAAAUAAUCAACUAAUAUGAGACACAUAAAAAUAGAAUUCUUCAAAUAUUUUGUAACAAAAAAAAAAAGAAAAAAGGCAGUGUACACUGAUUUUUGUAACUAAAAAUCGUGCGAAGUUGAGGGAUGCACGCAUUUUUUUCAAAGAUUUUGUAUGUAUGUAAUGUAAAAGCUUGGAAGAAAAAGAAGACUUUGUAGCUCUUUGAAUUAUUGCAUCACAAGAUGUAAAGAAAAUUGUAUGGUUGUCUUAAUAGUUUAUACAUUUUUGCUUAGCUUGCACCCUCUAUCCAAUAAAUAAAGUCAAAUUGAGCCAACAACAUGACAAAACCAAUUAUAAAAAUGAAUAAAAACUUUACCUACAUUUAUGUAAAUCUUGGUAAGGGUAAUUGUCGAAAUGAAAGCUAUAUAAAGGGGUUUGAGUGAAACUUAAAGAGGACACCAACUUCUCUUCUUUGGUUUCAAAUAUGGGGAAAAUGGCCUCUCUAGUUGCUACUCUUUUAGUGGUUUUAGUGUCACUUAGCUUUGCUUCCGAAAGCUCAGCAAACUAUCAAUACUCAUCUCCUCCACCACCAAAGAAGCCAUACCACCCUUCACCAACACCUUAUCAUCUCGCACCAGUUUACAGAUCACCACCACCACCAACUCCACUUUACAAGUCACCACCACCACCUAAGGAGCCACACUAUCCUCCACACACCCCGGUUUACAAGUCGCCACCUCCUCCAGCUCCAAUUUACAAGUCACCACCACCACCGGUGAAGCCAUACCAUCCAGCACCAGUUUAUAAGUCACCACCACCCCCUACGCCUGUUUACAAGUCACCACCACCACCAGUGAAGCCACACCAUCCUGCACCAGUAUACAAGUCUCCACCACCACCAACUCCAGUUUAUAAGUCACCACCUCCUCCAACACCCGUUUACAAGUCACCACCACCACCAGUGAAGCCAUACCAUCCUGCACCAGUAUACAAGUCACCACCACCUCCAACACCCAUUUACAAGUCACCACCACCACCAGUGAAGCCAUACCAUCCUGCACCAGUAUACAAGUCACCACCACCUCCAACACCCGUUUACAUGUCACCACCACCACCAGUGAAGCCAUACCAUCCUGCACCAGUAUACAAGUCACCACCACCUCUAACACCCGUUUACAAGUCACCACCACCACCAGUGAAGCCAUACCAUCCUGCACCAGUAUACAAAUCUCCACCACCACCAACUCCAAUUUACAAGUCACCUCCACCACCAGUGAAGCCAUACCAUCCUGCACCAGUAUACAAGUCUCCACCACCACCAACUCCAGUUUAUAAGUCACCACCACCACCGGUGAAGCCAUACCAUCCUACACCUGUGUACAAGUCUCCACCACCACCAACUCCUGUUUACAUGUCCCCACCACCACCAGUGAAGCCAUACCAUCCUACACCUGUGUACAAUUCUCCACCACCACCAACUCCCGUUUACAUGUCCCCACCACCACCAGUGAAGCCAUAUCAUCCUACACCUGUGUACAAAUCUCCACCACCACCAACUCUCGUUUACAAAUCACCACCACCACCCGUGAAGCCAUACCAUCCUUCACCAACACCACACCAUCCUACACCAGUAUACAAGUC